rnacentral:tRNA from 1 species
AAUGAAUUGCCUGACAAAAGGGUUACUUUGAUAGAGUAAAUUAUAUAAUUAAAAAUUAUAUUCAUUA